rnacentral:rRNA from 1 species
UGCGAGUCGAGAGGGUUCGGCCCUCGGCUGACGGCUCAGUAACACGUGGAUAAUCUGCCCUUAGGUGGAGGAUAAUCUCGGGAAACUGAGGACAAUACUCCAUAGGUUUAGGAGGCUGGAAUGCAUCUAGACUGAAAGCUCCGGCGCCUAAGGAUGAGUCUGCGGACUAUCAGGUAGUAGUCAGGGUAAAGACCUGACUAGCCUACGACGGAUACGGGUUGUGAGAGCAAUAACCCGGAGACGAUAUCUGAGACACGAUAUCGGGCCCUACGGGGCGCAGCAGGCGCGAAAACUUCACACUGUGCGAAAGCACGAUGAGGGAAUCCCGAGUGCUUGCUCGUAAGAGUAAGCUGUUUCUCUGUCUAAAACGCAGAGAGAGUAAGAGCUGGGUAAGACGGGUGCCAGCCGCCGCGGUAAUACCUGCAGCUCAAGUGGUGGCCGCUAUUAUUGGGCCUAAAACGUCCGUAGCCGGUUUAGUAAAUGCCUGGGUAAAUCGUGUAGCUUAACUAUACGAAUUCCGGGUAGACUGCUAAACUUGAGACCGGGAGAAGCCAGAGGUACUCCUAGGGUAGAGGUGAAAUUCUGUAAUCCUAGGGGGACCACCGGUGGCGAAGGCGUCUAGCUAGAACGGGUCUGACGGUGAGGGACGAAACCCUGGGGCGCAAACCGGAUUAGAUACCCGGGUAGUCCAGGGCGUAAACGCUGCUUGCUUGAUGUUAGUUGGGCUCCGAGCCCAAUUAGUGUCGGAGAGAAGUUGUUAGGCAAGCUGCCUGGGAAGUACGGUCGCAAGGCUGAAACUU